UCUGAAUGUUCUGAUAUACUUGGAAGCUUGGAAAGAACUCCCAACGAAGAUGUUCCGCCGAACAAGACGAGAAAAUUUGAUAAGCAAUGUUUAACCAGGCUGGCCUUGUUCAGCUGAAAGUUGGUUCAAUUUUUUAUCCAUGAUGCGAAAGGGGGUUGAUG